GUCUUAAUACAACACGAUGGAGUUAGCAGUUUUGUGUUUAUAUGUGUGGGAGGGAUUUAUUCAGUUUGAUAAAUCCCACGGUCUCUAGAGCUAUAGCUCAAAUUGGCUGGCUUACAGGGAGGGACCCAUCUGUUAGC